CAGUAGCCGCGGUAAUACGGAGGGUGCAAGCGUUAAUCGGAAUUACUGGGCGUAAAGCGCACGCAGGCGGUCUGUCAAGUCAGAUGUGAAAUCCCCGGGCUUAACCUGGGAACUGCAUUUGAAACUGGCAGGCUAGAGUCUUGUAGAGGGGGGUAGAAUUCCAGGUGUAGCGGUGAAAUGCGUAGAGAUCUGGAGGAAUACCGGUGGCGAAGGCGGCCCCCUGGACAAAGACUGACGCUCAGGUGCGAAAGCGUGGGGAGCAAACAGGAUUAGAUACCCCUGUAGUCCCUGUCUCUUAUAU
rnacentral:rRNA from 1 species